rnacentral:rRNA from 1 species
GUCCACGCCGUAAACGAUGCGCACUAGGUAUGAAAGGUUUUAACGCCGAUCGUGCCGGAGCAAAAGUGCUAAGUGCGCCGCCUGGGGAGUACGGCCGCAAGGCUAAAACUCAAAGGAAUUGACGGGGGCUCACACAAGCGGUGGAGCAUGUGGAUUAAUUCGAAGCAACGCGAAGAACCUUACCUGGGUUUGACAUGCUAGGAUGCUCUUCUGGAAACAGGAGUAGGCUGCCUUCGGGUGAAACUAGCACAGGUGCUGCAUGGCUGUCGU